UACGAAGGGGGCUAGCGUUGUUCGGAUUUACUGGGCGUAAAGCGCACGUAGGCGGAUUGUUAAGUCAGGGGUGAAAUCCUGGAGCUCAACUCCAGAACUGCCUUUGAUACUGGCAAUCUCGAGUCCGGAAGAGGUGAGUGGAACUCCUAGUGUAGAGGUGGAAUUCGUAGAUAUUAGGAAGAACACCAGUGGCGAAGGCGGCUCACUGGUCCGGAACUGACGCUGAGGUGCGAAAGCGUGGGGAGCAAACAGG
rnacentral:rRNA from 1 species